AUGAGCUUCCAAGCCCAGCUUCUGUGUCUCCUGGCGAUAGGCUUUCAGGGCUGUGGAGGGCGGCACAUCCUGACCCAGUUCCCAGAGACCCUGGCGGUGUCUCAGGACAGCUUCAUCUCCAUCACCUGUCAAAGCAGCAUGGACAUAGGCACCUCCAUGGCCUGGUACCAGCAGAAGCCUGGUGAGGCUCCCAGGCUGCUCAUCUUUGGGGCUUCUGCCCGGGCUGCUGGAACCCCGUCCCGGUUCCAGGGAAGUGGCUCUGGCUCUGAUUUCUCCCUCACCAUCCAUGGAGUGGAGGCUGAAGACAUGGGGGUGUAUUACUGCCAGCAGCACUUCAGCUGGCCUCCCUCAGUGACGGGUCCCCAGACAAAAAUAUCCUGUCUGGGCUGUGGGUGCCAGUUGUUGAACAAAGACAUCUGCUUCCUGUAG